rnacentral:rRNA from 1 species
GUGGAAAUCGGGAGAGCUUGCUCUUUGCCGACGAGCGGCGGACGGGUGCGUAACACGUAGGAAUCUGCCUGGUAGUGGGGGAUAGCCCGGAGAAAUCCGGAUUAAUACCGCAUACGCCCUACGGGGGAAAGCAGGGGAUCUUCGGACCUUGCGCUAUCAGAUGAGCCUGCGUCGGAUUAGCUGGUUGGUGGGGUAAAGGCCUACCAAGGCGACGAUCCGUAGCUGGUCUGAGAGGAUGAUCAGCCACACUGGGACUGAGACACGGCCCAGACUCCUACGGGAGGCAGCAGUGGGGAAUAUUGCACAAUGGGCGAAAGCCUGAUGCAGCCAUGCCGCGUGUGUGAAGAAGGCCCUAGGGUUGUAAAGCACUUUCAGUGGGGAGGAAAGGUUGGAGGUUAAUACCCUUCAGCUGUGACGUUACCCACAGAAGAAGCACCGGCUAACUCCGUGCCAGCAGCCGCGGUAAUACGGAGGGUGCGAGCGUUAAUCGGAAUUACUGGGCGUAAAGCGUGCGUAGGCGGCUACCUAAGUUGGAUGUGAAAGCCCCGGGCUCAACCUGGGAACUGCAUCCAAAACUGGGUGGCUGGAGUACGGGAGAGGAGUGUGGAAUUUCCUGUGUAGCGGUGAAAUGCGUAGAUAUAGGAAGGAAC